GCAGCGGCCCCGGCCCCCGGCGGCGGAAGCGGCCCGGAGCGGCCCCCGCGCCCAGCGCAGUGCGCCCGCCCGGCCGUGGGCCGUACCACCGCGCGUGGGGGGAGCCGCGAGGGGCGGCGAGGCGGCUGGCCGUGGGAGUCAGGGCGCCGAGGCUGAGUGUCGGGGAGCGGAGGCGGACUCCCGAAGUCCGGAAGCACGGACCGUUCAGGAAACCCGGCAGGGGGCGGAGGGCGGCCCCCAGUCCUCGGCCGGGCCCGCCCCUGCCCAAGCCCGGCAUCCUCGGAGCGGAUGAAAAGAUGCAUUCAUUCCAGGCGGGCGGGCGGAGGACGAGAUGAAUAGGGAGGGUCCGAGUGUCCCUGCUCCCUGGGGCGUACAAUGGACAAGGACGUUCAUUCAUUCAUUCGUUCACGCGUCAAAUAUUUAACGUGCCCUUGCUCCGGGCCAGGCUUUGGCCUAUCUCUGCUCCUGGUGGAGGGAACAGUGCCUGCAAAGGCCUAGAGGACAGCCGGAGGGAUCCAGCACGCUUUAUUUAGGAUGGUGCACUCUCGGAGGAGCUGGCAAAGCCGUGUGAAAGGGUGCAGCGGUGCGGGGAGCGGCGCGAGAUGGCCUGCUCGCGUGUUGCUUAGAGCGGCGAAUACUUACUGAGCACAUACUCCGUGCUACACUACGAAGGGCGCCCAGCUCUCCGCGGUCCUGCCCUCGGGGAGCUGACCUUCCAUGAGUCUGUCUCCUCCAGCUGACUGUCCCCCACCCCGGUCCCGCACAGAGCCGGGUCUCAGCACAAGUGUGGAUGAAAGGACCAGAAUGCACCCCUUCCGUCUGAGUCCUCUGUUGCCCAGGGACGGACACCAGGCAGCCUCCAGCUUACCACACCACAGUGAACAGCCACGGAUAUGCCCCCUUAGGGACCUGGGGAGAGCCUCCGCAGAAGAGAGACCUGGCUGCAGAGGUGCUGGGGCACAGGGCGAACUCAACUACUACGUGGCCCCCAGAGCAGCUGCCCCCAUCACACCCACUGACAGUAGGGGAGAGUCCCACGUCCCCAUAUCUCCGCCAGCCACUGGUAUUAUCCAGCUUCUAAUUUUUGCCACUCUGACUCACUGUCAAGUGACAUCCUAUUGCUUUACUUUACGUUUCUCUGAUUUCUAAUCACUUUGUGCAUCUCUUCCUUGGCUUGAUGGCCUGCGGGUCUUCCUCUUCCGUAAACGCCCGUUCAGACUCUGCCUAUGUCUCGCUGGGGGUUGCUGUCUUGUUCUUGUUGAUUUGCACGUGUUCCUCAUAGACUCUAGAUCUGCACUGUCCCAUCUGAUCCAACGUGAACUCUCCACUCUCCACACAUGGCUCCUGAGCACUUGAAGUGUGGCUAAUGCAAACUGAGCUGUCCCGUCAGUGGAAAGCACACCGGCUUUCUAAGACUUAGUACAAACAGAAGGGUAUAUCACAUCUUGUUAACUCAUUUUAUACUGAUUCCAUGUCAUAGUAAUAGUAAUGUUGAUGUACUGGGCUAAAUAAAGUGUAUUCAAAUUAAUUUCACCUUUUUAUUAUUUGAAUGUGACUAUGAGAAAAUUCAAAGUUGCGCGUGCAUGUGCAUAGUUCUGCUGGAUGGGGCUGGGAUGGCGACAGUGCUUAAACAGAGCUUGCCAUGAGCCAGGCCAUUUAACUCUAAUGACCCCGAGAAGUAGACACAGGUUACACAACGAAACAUUCUCCUAUCUGUUAUGUGACAAUUGGCUUCGCCCAUGACAUCCCUCAUUGGAAGGAAAUUUUUUUUUUUGAGGACGAUUAGCUCUGAGCUAACAUCUGCCGCCAAUCCUCCUCUUUUUGCUGAGGAAGACUGGCUCUGAGCUAACAUCCGUGCCCAUCUUUCUCUAUUUUCUAUGUGGGACGCCUGCCACAGCAUGGCUUGACAAGCGGUGCCAUGUCCCAACCAGGGAACCCUGGGCCGCUGAAGCGGAAGGUGCGCACUUAACCACUGCACCACCGGGCCGGCCCCUUGAGGCUGCUCUUCUAAGGAGACUCGGGUCUUACAUUUGGGGGAGAAGCCAUGGCUUAAACUGCACUGUCCACUCUUUGCCACUAGCCACAUGUAGCUGCUGAGCACUUGAAAUGUGGCUGGAAUGACCAAGUAACCAAGUUUUUAGUUUUAUUUGACUCUAAAACAGUUUCCAUUUUAAAAACAGAGAACAUUCCCGUUAGGGCAGAAAACUCCGGGACACCGGUUACAUGGUUUCAGUGGGAAGGGAAAGCCACUCCUAGGUUGACCUUAAAUAUGGUGUUACUGAAGUUUUUACUCGAAGACUUUUUGUAGCUAAGCAGCAAUACAUUGUUUUCAAACCGUGUAAUUACUCACUUUAUAAUAAAACCAGUUCCUUAAAAAAACCUACAAAGUAAAAAGCUCCUGCGGCUGCACACAGAGCAGGAGCAGGAAAUGGGCCUUACCCUGGGCGAGGCCCCGGGCAGGAAUCCCAGUCCCGCUCGGCCAGCCUGCCUGACACCAGCCUGUUCCAGCAAGGAGGGGGCAGCGGGGGACAGGGCAGACCGUGCGCCCCGCGCCCAGCGACAGGCCCUGGGAGGCGGCAGGGGAACUGCUUGAACUCCGGCCUUGACCUCCACAAUAGACCGGCUGACUACAAGGGCCUCUCCAGCCCACCCCCACUCAGGAAGGCAGCCCCGCCGCCCGCCGCUGACACCCCGCCCCGCCAGCAGAGCCCUCAAACAGAGUCGCAGGACCGCCGGCCCGAGGUUUGGCAUCAGUCUUUAAUGCUGCGGCGCUGCACAUUGACAAGUCACACGCUUCGCGCUCACGUUGGCA
ensembl:lncRNA